rnacentral:lncRNA from 10 species
AAAAAAGUCCUUUGCCUAAAGAACAUACAUGCUUCUUCUUGAAUUCUUGCAGACAAACUGUUUGUUAGAACUUUGAUGAGUUGGGAAUGUAUUACAGCAGCUGUCACUGGGUUAACCAUGUGAUUGCUCCUACAGAUGUAGUUGCUUGUCUGAGUGCAUUUCCCGGGAGAGGGGAGUAGGCAAGCCGGAAGGUAGGAAAGCUGUCCAGGCUACUUCUUGUCUGAGCUCCACUGCUUUCCGGCCUUGAGAUAGGAGCUUGCCCAGGGUACUUGGCCUAUUUGGUUAAGUUGUCAGUGUUUGUUGGUGAAUUUUCAUUAAAAUGAAGAGAGGCUGUUGAAGAAAUCAUGGCAUACCGAUGCAGCAAGAAGGUGUCGUCUAUGAGGAAUGGGCCCUUAAGAAACCUAGAACCUGAUGGCACGUUUAUCUUCGACUUCCCGGUCGUCAGAACUGAGACAGAAUGGAAGUAUGAAGCAGGGAACUAUUUCCGAAGAGUUUUGAUGUUCUUGGAGCAGGUACACAAUUUUGUUUUUCUGUGGAAUUUUCUCGGUCUGACAUUCUUAUCUUGUUGACUAAUCACUUACUCUAUGCUGAAACAAUGGAAUUCCUCCAUCUUCAAAUAGAUCAUAAAGUGAUGCUGUGAGUAAUCCAAGCCUGAGGGGUCCUUUCCACACGUUUUUCUCAUUGGCCAUUGUCUAGUCUUUUGAUAUUCUCUUCAUUUUCUCUCAUGCUAGUCUCUGCAGUUCUGCAGAGAGUGGACACGAUUAUUAUUUUCUUUCAAAUCUGUGUAAGGAACAAACUAAAACCUUACUUUCUAAUGAUAGUAGGUCAGGUUUCUGGGAAAUGGAGUCCCUUUGUUUUGUCUAGCAAUGGAAAUAGGAUCUGGGGGACAACUGAACUACUCUUCAUAGUAGAGGGAGAAAAAUUUGGAGCUUGAAGGGAAUACGUGAAGAAGGCAGUAAGGAGGUAGGACAGGGAGGCAAGGGAAGAGAGAAGCCAAUAAGAUAAUAAGAUACUUCAUGAGAUUAUCCCUUUGUAGCAAAUUGCAUUUUCCAAAAAUAAUCACAAACAGGUGUCCUGUCCCACAUUCUCUUUCAAAACUUUGCUAUUCCCCCAUCAGGAGGAGAUAGCCUGUCUCUUCUCCUUAAAACUGACUGUGACACUGUGACUUCCUUGACAAGUAACAAUGUGGUGGAGCUGACUCCUAGGCUAGGUUAGAACAGGCAAUAUGGCUUCUGCCCAGCUCUCCCUCAGGAUGCUUGUGUGGGGACUCUGAGCUGCCAUGUAUGAAGUUUGGCCAUCCUGAAGCACAGAUGCUUAGAAAAGAUCCUGUGGAUAAACCAUAAAGAGAAUGACAUAUGCCCUGAGGAGAUCCAGC